CAUGCAAGUCGAGCGGUAGGCCCUUCGGGGUACACGAGCGGCGAACGGGUGAGUAACACGUGGGUAACCUGCCCUGUACUCUGGGAUAAGCCUGGGAAACUAGGUCUAAUACCGGAUAUGACCCCCGAGGGCAUCCUCGGGGGUGGAAAGUUCCGGCGGUACAGGAUGGACCCGCGGCCUAUCAGCUUGUUGGUGGGGUGAUGGCCUACCAAGGCGACGACGGGUAGCCGGCCUGAGAGGGUGACCGGCCACACUGGGACUGAGACACGGCCCAGACUCCUACGGGAGGCAGCAGUGGGGAAUAUUGCACAAUGGGCGAAAGCCGGAUGCAGCGACGCCGCGUGAGGGAUGACGGCCUUCGGGUUGUAAACCUCUUUCAGCAGGGACGAAGCGCAAGUGACGGUACCUGCAGAAGAAGCACCGGCUAACUACGUGCCAGCAGCCGCGGUAAUACGUAGGGUGCGAGCGUUGUCCGGAAUUAUUGGGCGUAAAGAGCUCGUAGGCGGUUUGUCGCGUCGGCCGUGAAAGCUUGGGGCUUAACCCCAAGCUUGCGGUCGAUACGGGCAGACUUGAGUUCGGCAGGGGAGACUGGAAUUCCUGGUGUAGCGGUGAAAUGCGCAGAUAUCAGGAGGAACACCGGUGGCGAAGGCGGGUCUCUGGGCCGACACUGACGCUGA
rnacentral:rRNA from 1 species